rnacentral:rRNA from 1 species
UACGAAGGGGGGCUAGCGUUGCUCGGAAUCACUGGGCGUAAAGGGCGCGUAGGCGGCUCGCUAAGUCGGGGUGUGAAAACUCUGGGCUCAACCCCAGAGCCUGCAUUCGAAACUGACGAGCUAGAGUUCUGGAGGGGAAAGCGGAAUUCCUGGUGUAGCGGUGAAAUGCGUAGAAUAUCAGGAGGAACACCGGUGGCGAAGGCGG